AUAAUAAUGAUGGUCGUGCAGCAUUGACCCAGAGGUCAGUAGGAUAAUGGGGACUAUGAGGAUAAUAAUGAUGGUCGUGCAGCAUUGACCCAGAGGUCAGUAGGAUAAUGGGGACUAUGAGGAUAAUAAUGAUGGUCGUGCAGCAUUGACCCAGAGGUCAGUAGGAUAAUGGGGACUAUGAGGAUAAUAAUGAUGGUCGUGCAGCAUUGACCCAGAGGUCAGUAGGAUAAUGGGGACUAUGAGGAUAAUAAUGAUGGUCGUGCAGCAUUGACCCAGAGGUCAGUAGGAUAAUGGGGACUA